AACGAACGCUGGCGGCACGCUUAAUACAUGCAAGUCGUACGAGAAAGUUCCUUCGGGGAUGAGUAAGUGGCGCACGGGUGAGUAACACGUAGGUGACCUGCCUUAUAGUGGGGGAUAACAGUAAGAAAUUAUUGCUAAUACCGCAUAAGUUGUAAAAGUUUGGAGACAUUUACAAGAAAGAUGGCCUCUACAUGUAAGCUAUCACUAUAAGAAGGGCCUGCGGGCCAUUAGCUAGUUGGUGGGGUAAAGGCCUACCAAGGCGAUGAUGGCUAGCCGGUCUGAGAGGACGAUCGGCCACACUGGAACUGAGACACGGUCCAGACUCCUACGGGAGGCAGCAGUAGGGAAUCUUGCGCAAUGGGCGAAAGCCUGACGCAGCGAUGCCGCGUGAGUGAGGAAGGCC
rnacentral:rRNA from 1 species